rnacentral:misc_RNA from 1 species
AUCAUCGUUGUUAACUAAAACACAAGUCCCAUAUUUUAUUAACCAAAUUGGUUUAGAUCCCACAUUUUAUACAUCAGGAUCACCAAUUCUUCAUAGACAACACUGGCUUGGGAUAGACAGCAAACUCAUAACACACAAGCACUCACAAUCACAGCUACACAUAAACAACCGAACAAAUCAACUGCAGAAUUAACUAAGAGGCCUUGGAAGCAGGUGACUGAA